rnacentral:rRNA from 1 species
UACAGAGGGUGCGAGCGUUGUCCGGAAUCACUGGGCGUAAAGGGCGCGUAGGCGGCUCAGUAAGGUUGCGGUGAAAGCCCGGGGCUCAACCCCGGGUCGGCCGUGGCAACUGCUGGGCUGGAGCACUGUAGAGGCAGGUGGAAUUCCUGGUGUAGCGGUGAAAUGCGCAGAUAUCAGGAAGAACACCCGUGGCUAAGGCGGCUCUCUAGUACGGUACUGACGCUGAGACGCGAAAGCGUGGGGAGCGAACAGG